ensembl:snRNA U6 U6 spliceosomal RNA
GUGCUCACUUCAGCUGCACAUAUACUAAAGUUGGAAUGAUACAGAGAAGAUCAGCAUGACCCCUGCACAAAGUGGCAUGUAAAUUCUUGAUGCAUUCCAUUUUUUU